AGACCUGAAUUGGUCGGGCGACCCAAUGCAGUCUCAUUUCGAGAAUCCAAUCCGGAUCCUCUUACUCAAUAUGAGACUUGUAAUGGUCGUGCAACCCAAUGCAGAGUAAUUACGGGAACAUCCAGGUUACUACGGGCAUCUUACCCAAUAUGAGACCUGCAUUGGUCGGGCAACCCAAUGCAGUCUGAUUACGGGAAAAUCC
rnacentral:lncRNA from 1 species